GGACAGAAUGACAGGUGGUGCAUGGUUGUCGUCAGCUCGUGUCGUGAGAUGUUGGGUUAAGUCCCGCAACGAGCGCAACCCUUAUUACUAGUUGCCAGCAUUAAGUUGGGCACUCUAGUGAGACUGCCGGUGACAAACCGGAGGAAGGUGGGGACGACGUCAAAUCAUCAUGCCCCUUAUGACCUGGGCUACACACGUGCUACAAUGGAUGGUACAACGAGUCGCGAGACCGCGAGGUUAAGCUAAUCUCUUAAAACCAUUCUCAGUUCGGACUGUAGGCUGCAACUCGCCUACACGAAGUCGGAAUCGCUAGUAAUCGCGGAUCAGCAUGCCGCGGUGAAUACGUUCCCGGGCCUUGUACACACCGCCCGUCACACCAUGAGAGUUUGUAACACCCAAAGCCGGU
rnacentral:rRNA from 1 species